rnacentral:rRNA from 1 species
GACGAACGCUGGCGGCGUGCUUAACACAUGCAAGUCGAACGAUGAAGCUGGAGCUUGCUCUGGUGGAUUAGUGGCGAACGGGUGAGUAACACGUGAGUAACCUGCCCUGAACUCUGGGAUAAGCGUUGGAAACGACGUCUAAUACCGGAUAGGACCCUGGAUCGCAUGAUCUGGGGUGGAAAGUUUUUCGGUUUGGGAUGGACUCGCGGCCUAUCAGCUUGUUGGUGAGGUAAUGGCGAACCAAGGCGUCGACGGGUAGCCGGCCUGAGAGGGUGACCGGCCACACUGGGACUGAGACACGGCCCAGACUCCUACGGGAGGCAGCAGUGGGGAAUAUUGCACAAUGGGCGCAAGCCUGAUGCAGCAACGCCGCGUGCGGGAUGACGGCCUUCGGGUUGUAAACCGCUUUUAGUAGGGAAGAAGGGCUUCGGCUUGACGGUACCUGCAGAAAAAGGACCGGCUAACUACGUGCCAGCCGCCGCGGUAAAAC